rnacentral:tRNA from 1 species
UAUGGCUUAGUGGCAGAGUGCUUGCCUCACAGGCAUGAAGCCCUGAGUUCAAUUCCUCAGUA